rnacentral:rRNA from 1 species
CAGCCGCCACGGUAAUACGUAGGGUGCGAGCGUUAAUCGGAAUUACUGGGCGUAAAGCGUGCGCAGGCGGUUAUAUAAGACAGUUGUGAAAUCCCCGGGCUCAACCUGGGAACUGCAUCUGUGACUGUAUAGCUAGAGUACGGUAGAGGGGGAUGGAAUUCCGCGUGUAGCAGUGAAAUGCGUAGAUAUGCGGAGGAACACCGAUGGCGAAGGCAAUCCCCUGGACCUGUACUGACGCUCAUGCACGAAAGCGUGGGGAGCAAACAGGAUUAGAGACCCCCGUAGUCCCUGUCUCUUAUAC